rnacentral:rRNA from 1 species
UCCCAGACUCCUACGGGAGGCAGCAGUGGGGAAUAUUGCACAAUGGGGGAAACCCUGAUGCAGCGACGCCGCGUGAGUGAAGAAGUAUUUCGGUAUGUAAAGCUCUAUCAGCAGGGAAGAAAAUGACGGUACCUGACUAAGAAGCCCCGGCUAACUACGUGCCAGCAGCCGCGGUAAUACGUAGGGGGCAAGCGUUAUCCGGAUUUACUGGGUGUAAAGGGAGCGUAGACGGCAUGGCAAGUCAGAUGUGAAAGCCCGGGGCUCAACCCCGGGACUGCAUUUGAAACUGUCAGGCUGGAGUGCAGGAGAGGUAAGUGGAAUUCCUAGUGUAGCGGUGAAAUGCGUAGAUAUUAGGAGGAACACCAGUGGCGAAGGCGGCCUGCUGGACCGCGACUGACGUUGAGGCUCGAAAGCGUGGGGAGCGAACAGGAUUAGAUACCCCUGUAAC